rnacentral:snRNA from 1 species
GUACUUAUUUGCGGUACAUAUUCUAAAAUUGGAACGAUACAGAGAAGAUUAGCAUGGCCCCUACGCAAGGAUGAAAUGCAAAUUCAUGAAGCAUUCCAUAUUUUU